CUCAGGACGAACGCUGGCGGCGUGCCUAACACAUGCAAGUCGAGCGGAGACAGUGAGUAGCUUGCUACGAGCUGUUUUAGCGGCGGACGGGUGAGUAACGCGUGAGCAACCUUUCCCAGACAGGGGAAUAACACACCGAAAGGUGUACUAAUACCGCAUAAGACCACGGGAUCACAUGGUUCUGGGGUAAAAGAUUUAUCGGUUUGGGGUGGGCUCGCGUCCGAUUAGGUAGUUGGUGAGGUAACGGCCCACCAAGCCGACGAUCGGUAGCCGACCUGAGAGGGUGAUCGGCCACAUUGGGACUGAGACACGGCCCAAACUCCUACGGGAGGCAGCAGUGGGGAAUAUUGGGCAAUGGAGGAAACUCUGACCCAGCAACGCCGCGUGGAGGAAGAAGGUUUUCGGAUCGUAAACUCCUGUCCUUGGAGACGAGUAGAAGACGGUAUCCAAGGAGGAAGCCCCGGCUAACUACGUGCCAGCAGCCGCGGUAAUACGUAGGGGGCAAGCGUUGUCCGGAAUAAUUGGGCGUAAAGGGCGCGUAGGCGGCUCGGUAAGUCUGGAGUGAAAGUCCUGCUUUUAAGGUGGGAAUUGCUUUGGAUACUGUCGGGCUUGAGUGCAGGAGAGGUUAGUGGAAUUCCCAGUGUAGCGGUGAAAUGCGUAGAGAUUGGGAGGAACACCAGUGGCGAAGGCGACUAACUGGACUGUAACUGACGCUGAGGCGCGAAAGUGUGGGGAGCAAACAGGGUUAGAUACCCUGGUAGUCCACACUGUAAACGAUGAAUGCUAGGUGUAGGGGGUAUCGACCCCUUCUGUGCCGCAGUCAACACAAUAAGCAUUCCGCCUGGGGAGUACGGCCGCAAGGUUGAAACUCAAAGGAAUUGACGGAAGGGCGAAUUCUG
rnacentral:rRNA from 1 species